ensembl:snRNA U6 U6 spliceosomal RNA
AUGCUCACUUCGGCAGCAUAUGUACUAAAACUGGAAUGAUACAGAGAAGAUUAGCAUGGCCCCUGAGCAAGUAUGACAUGCAAAUUUGUGAAACGUUCCAUAUUUGU